rnacentral:misc_RNA from 1 species
UAUGAAGAACGUAGCGAAAUGCGAUACGUAAUGUGAAUUGCAGAUUUCAGUGAAUCAUCGAAUCUUUGAACGCACAUUGCGCCCGCCAGUAUUCUGGCGGGCAUGCCUGUUCGAGCGUCAUUUCAACCAUCAAGCCUUCGCUUGUGUUGGGGCCCCGCGGCUGCCGCGGUCCCCUAAAUCCAGUGGCGGGCUCGUCGUCGUACCGAGCGCAGUAGACAUCCUCGCUCCGGGAACCCGACGGGUGCCGGCCGUGAAACCCCCCACAUCAAGGUUGACCUCGGAUCAGGUAGGAAUACCCGCUGAACUUAAGCAUAUCAAUAAGCGGAGGA